rnacentral:lncRNA from 1 species
CCCUAACUCAAUCAAACCAUUAGAACUCAAAGAAUUCGUCUCACAUCGUUCUCUAUGCCCUCUCUGUUCUCUCUCCACCGCACUCUCUGUUCUCUCUCCACUGCCACCGUCAACAACGGAAACAUGGAGGCAGCAAGAUCUGAAUCUGUAGUUUAUUACACCAAACGAAAAUGUAAAACAAGAAAAAAAAGCUUUUGAUGGUUCAGAAAGUUCAACCUUUGAGCGGGAUCUAGACGUUGAAUCUUUGCUGGUCAAAGAAUUCGAAAGUCAAAACGAAGAAUUUGGUGACAAAGAAUUACUGUUGCAAGAAUUGGAGUUGGCACCAACACCUGAAGAACCACUGAACAAAACAAAAGCAUCGGUCACCACCACCUGAAGGGGUGGCGGUGGUGGUGGUGGCUGUGGUGGUGGGGGUUUGUUGGAGAGAGACAAAGAGAUG